GCCUGUGUUUAACCCACAGUCCUGUCCACAUCUUUCCUGCACUGUUCUUUCUGGCAAACUGCCUGUACUCAAUCUCCAGUAAUCUUUGCGACCCUCCAUCCUAUCUGUACUUAUCUGCUCUUCUUUAAGCCAUGCUCCUGCUCUGCUCACAUCUUCCUGGUGCUGUGCUGAACAGAAACGAACGUGGAGAUCUUACACCUUCCGUGUAAGGGCUGCCACGAAGUUAAACUGAACACGCAGAAAGCUGCACAGCUGGACAGAGGAGAUGAGGAAGAGUCAGCAACUGGCUCAUUGGAAGAGAGACCCUGGAAGAAAUCAAGUGGAAGCCUUGAAGACUGCUGCCCUACUGGUAUGACUGCCUGUUGUGGAUCUUUACUCUGUAAGAACUGCCCUGAUGCCUCAGAAGAGGGAGUAUUUUGAGAAGGCUGAUCCAGUACCACAAGUUUGACAGGUAUGAAUUUCCCAGUGGAGUGGCCCAACCCAGCUGGGGCUCUCAGUGACAGCACAAGCUAUCCUUCAAGAGCAAGACUGCAGGACCAAGAAUGCAAGUACAGAAAACCCUGCUAGAGUAAGUGGCUUAGGAGAAGGCAUUUAUUGUCACACCAUCUUUAGACUGGGAGUCAUACAGAAGAUUGAAAGCCAUGUCUCUGGGAGGUGUUACCUAUUUCCAUGAGUUUGCUUUAUCUGUGAAAUACAACUGUGGAAAACAGGGUUUGUCAUGACAGGUGAAAUCAUAAAAGUACUGAAGUUACCACUGCAUUGUCCACUGUUGUUGGUGUCCACCAUGAAGAAUGGAACUGUAACAUACUGUACACUGUGGUAGGUUAUAACCAAAGAUUGUCACUUCCUCACCACUGCUCUUUCAUUAGGAUUUCACUAAAUAGGAAACUCAUUUUACAUUGAACAAGAACUAGUUAUCUGACCCUUC